AAAUAGAUACCCCGGUAGUCCACGCCGUAAACGAUGAGUGCUAAGUGUUAGAGGGUUUCCGCCCUUUAGUGCUGCAGCUAACGCAUUAAGCACUCCGCCUGGGGAGUACGGCCGCAAGGCUGAAACUCAAAGGAAUUGACGGGGGCCCGCACAAGCGGUGGAGCAUGUGGUUUAAUUCGAAGCAACGCGAAGAACCUUACCAGGUCUUGACAUCCUCUGCCAACCCUAGAGAUAGGGUCGUUCCCCGUUCGGGGGACAGAGUGACAGGUGGUGCAUGGUUGUCGUCAGCUCGUGUCGUGAGAUGUUGGGUUAAGUCCCGCAACGAGCGCAACCCUUGAUCUUAGUUGCCAGCAUUCAGUUGGGCACUCUAAGGUAGACUGCCGGUGACAAACGGAGGAAGGUGGGGAUGACGUCAAAUACAUCAUGCCCCUUAUGACCGUGGGCUACACACGUGCUACAAUGGAUGGUAACAAAGAGCUGCGAACCCGCGGAGGGUAAGCCAAUCUCAAUAAAGCCAUUCUCAGUUCGGAUUGUAGG
rnacentral:rRNA from 1 species